GCGACGCGGAAGAGAGCGGCAACGCUGGGGGAAAGCAACGCUUGGCUGUGACCUACAGACACAGUGGAGAUGAUCAUACGCACGAUCCUUCUUGAAUACAACGAGAUUC
rnacentral:snRNA from 1 species